CAGUCGCCGCGGUAACACGGAGGGUGCAAGCGUUACUCGGAAUCACUGGGCGUAAAGGACGCGUAGGCGGAUUAUCAAGUCUCUUGUGAAAUCUAACGGCUUAACCGUUAAACUGCUUGGGAAACUGAUAAUCUAGAGUAAGGGAGAGGCAGAUGGAAUUCUUGGUGUAGGGGUAAAAUCCGUAGAUAUCAAGAAGAAUACCUAUUGCGAAGGCGAUCUGCUGGAACUUAACUGACGCUAAUGCGUGAAAGCGUGGGGAGCAAACAGGAUUAGAUACCCCCGUAGUCCCUGUCUCUUAUAC
rnacentral:rRNA from 1 species